rnacentral:rRNA from 1 species
CCUACGGGUGGCAGCAGUCGAGAAUCAUUCACAAUGGGGGAAACCCUGAUGGUGCGACGCAGCGUGGGGGAAUGAAGGUCUUCGGAUUGUAAACCCCUGUCAUGUGGGAGCAAAUUAAAAAGAUAGUACCACAAGAGGAAGAGACGGCUAACUCUGUGCCAGCAGCCGCGGUAAUACAGAGGUCUCAAGCGUUGUUCGGAAUCACUGGGCGUAAAGCGUGCGUAGGCUGUUUAGUAAGUCGUGUGUGAAAGGUGCGGGCUCAACCCGCGGACGGCACAUGAUACUGCGAGACUAGAGUAAUGGAGUGGGAACCGGAAUUCGCGGUGUAGCAGUGAAAUGCGUAGAUAUCGAGAGGAACACUCGUGGCGAAGGCGGGUUCCUGGACAUUAACUGACGCUGAGGCACGAAGGCCAGGGGAGCGAAAGGGAUUAGAUACCCCUGUAGUC